rnacentral:lncRNA from 1 species
GCGCGGGGCCCGCGGCUCCCACCCUGGGGACGCGCCUGCCUCCCAGCCGGUCCUGUUUGAGGACGGGGCGGGACGGGGAGGCUCGCGGGGGCUAGAAGCCACACGUUUCUUUUUUUUUCUGCAGUUUCUGGAAAGUGAGCCCAUACUUCGGUGCCCACGACCCGAAGCCCUCGGGUGCUCCCGAAGUUCGUUCGGAUUUCGAGCCCCGCCGCCUUUGUGGAAGGUGCAGUUACACCUGUAGGGGGACGGGGAGGGGAGCCCGCGUUUCCCAUCCAGGCAACGACCCGAGCCGGUGCAGCAGCAGGACCGUGGGGGCAGGUGCAGGUGCUCGGCGCGGGCGUCCUUGCUGCCUUCUCUGGGAGGUUUCGUGUUGGUGCUUGAGGGAGCUGCAGCAUGCCCGGCGUUGCUCUGUGCGAGGACGUGGUCCAGAGCCCCUCUGGAGGCAGGAAGAAGGCUGCCAGCUAUCGUGUAACCCAUACCCAGACAGCUGAUGGAAGAUUUUGCUUCUCCUUCCUCCAAGCUUUUGGAAAGUAAUAAAAGCAACGUAGAAAACGAGCAACUCAGGAAAUGGGUUGAAAGAGGAGGAGUUUGGAAUGUUCCACCACUUUACCUUAGGGAAUGGGGGGAGCUCUAGUGCAGCACUUGGAAUUACCUGCCACCUGUCGUUGUAUUGGAAGAAGCAGAGCUCAGAGAAACUGCCACGUGAUCUUCCUGAGAAGAUCAAAAAAUGGAUGUCUUAUGUUCAGAAAGGACAAGAAAACAAUGAAAUAAAAUGCUCCGCUGUUCCACGGAGUGCCAUUCUUACAUGAAGUAUUUUAGUAAUGGGUGCAGUGUGUGGAUGAAUAAAAGCAUAAGAG